GAUGAACGCUGGCGGCGUGCCUAAUACAUGCAAGUCGAGCGAACGGACGAGAAGCUUGCUUCUCUGAUGUUAGCGGCGGACGGGUGAGUAACACGUGGAUAACCUACCUAUAAGACUGGGAUAACUUCGGGAAACCGGAGCUAAUACCGGAUAAUAUUUUGAACCGCAUGGUUAAAAAGUGAAAGACGGUCUUGCUGUCACUUAUAGAUGGAUCCGCGCUGCAUUAGCUAGUUGGUAAGGUAACGGCUUACCAAGGCAACGAUGCAUAGCCGACCUGAGAGGGUGAUCGGCCACACUGGAACUGAGACACGGUCCAGACUCCUACGGGAGGCAGCAGUAGGGAAUCUUCCGGAAUGGGCGAAAGCCUGACGGAGCAACGCCGCGUGAGUGAUGAAGGUCUUCGGCUCGUAAACCUCUGUUAUUAGGGAAGAACAUAUGUGUAAGUACCUGUGCACAUCUUGACGGUACCUAAUCAGAAAGCCACGGCUAACUACGUG
rnacentral:rRNA from 1 species